GACGAACGCUGGCGGCGUGCUUAACACAUGCAAGUCGAGCGAUGAAGUUCCUUCGGGAAUGGAUUAGCGGCGGACGGGUGAGUAACACGUGGGUAACCUGCCUCAUAGAGGGGAAUAGCCUUCCGAAAGGAAGAUUAAUACCGCAUAAGAUUGUAGUACCGCAUGGUAUAGCAAUUAAAGGAGCAAUCCGCUAUGAGAUGGACCCGCGUCGCAUUAGCUAGUUGGUGAGGUAACGGCUCACCAAGGCGACGAUGCGUAGCCGACCUGAGAGGGUGAUCGGCCACAUUGGGACUGAGACACGGCCCAGACUCCUACGGGAGGCAGCAGUGGGGAAUAUUGCACAAUGGGGGAAACCCUGAUGCAGCAACGCCGCGUGAGUGAUGACGGUCUUCGGAUUGUAAAACUCUGUCUUCAGGGACGAUAAUGACGGUACCUGAGGAGGAAGCCACGGCUAACUACGUGCCAGCAGCCGCCGCGG
rnacentral:rRNA from 1 species